rnacentral:rRNA from 1 species
UACGUAGGGGGCAAGCGUUGUCCGGAUUUAUUGGGCGUAAAGAGCGUGUAGGCGGCCAGGUAGGUCUGCUGUGAAAACUCGAGGCUCAACCUCGAGACGUCGGCGGAAACCAUCUGGCUAGAGUCCGGAAGAGGAGAGUGGAAUUCCUGGUGUAGCGGUGAAAUGCGCAGAUAUCAGGAAGAACACCCGUAGUGGCAAGGCGCACUCUGGGACGGUACUGACGCUGAGACGCGAAAGCGUGGGGAGCGAACAGG